rnacentral:rRNA from 1 species
GACGGAGGAUGCAAGCGUUAUCCGGAAUUAUUGGGCGUAAAGCGUCCGUAGGUGGCCCUACAAGUCAGUUGUUAAAGCCCACAGCUCAACUGUGGAUGGGCAAUUGAAACUGUAGAGCUAGAGUGUGGUAGGGGUAGAGGGAAUUCCUAGUGUAGCGGUGAAAUGCGUAGAUAUUAGGAAGAACACCAGUGGCGAAGGCGCUCUACUGGGCCAUAACUGACACUGAUGGACGAAAGCUAGGGGAGCGAAAGGG